AGAGUUUGAUCCUGGCUCAGGAUGAACGCUAGCUACAGGCUUAACACAUGCAAGUCGAGGGGCAGCAUGACGAUAGCUUGCUAUUGUUGAUGGCGACCGGCGCACGGGUGAGUAACGCGUAUCCAACCUGCCCUUGUCCAUCGGAUAACCCGUCGAAAGGCGGACUAACACGAUAUGCAGUUCUCAGCAGGCAUCUAACGAGAACGAAAUGUGAAGGAGAAGGAUGGGGAUGCGUCUGAUUAGCUUGUUGGCGGGGUAACGGCCCACCAAGGCGACGAUCAGUAGGGGUUCUGAGAGGAAGGUCCCCCACAUUGGAACUGAGACACGGUCCAAACUCCUACGGGAGGCAGCAGUGAGGAAUAUUGGUCAAUGGGCGAGAGCCUGAACCAGCCAAGUAGCGUGCAGGAUGACGGCCCUAUGGGUUGUAAACUGCUUUUAUAAGGGAAUAAAGUGAGCCUCGUGAGGCUUUUUGCAUGUACCUUAUGAAUAAGGACCGGCUAAUUCCGUGCCAGCAGCCGCGGUAAUACGGAAGGUCCGGGCGUUAUCCGGAUUUAUUGGGUUUAAAGGGAGCGUAGGCCGUCUGUUAAGCGUGUUGUGAAAUGUCGGGGCUCAACCUGGGCAUUGCAGCGCGAACUGGCAGACUUGAGUGCGCAGGAAGUAGGCGGAAUUCGUCGUGUAGCGGUGAAAUGCUUAGAUAUGACGAAGAACUCCGAUUGCGAAGGCAGCCUGCUGUAGUGCAACUGACGCUGAAGCUCGAAAGCGUGGGUAUCGAACAGGAUUAGAUACCCUGGUAGUCCACGCGGUAAACGAUGGAUGCUCGCUGUUUGCGUCUGACGUAAGCGGCCAAGCGAAAGCGUUAAGCAUCCCACCUGGGGAGUACGCCGGCAACGGUGAAACUCAAAGGAAUUGACGGGGGCCCG
rnacentral:rRNA from 1 species